rnacentral:rRNA from 1 species
GAUAGAGGAUGCAAGCGUUAUCCGGAAUGAUUGGGCGUAAAGCGUCUGUAGGUGGCUUUUCAAGUCCGCCGUCAAAUCCCGGGGCUCAACCCUGGACAGGCGGUGGAAACUACCAAGCUAGAGUACGGUAGGGGCAGGGGGAAUUUCCGGUGGAGCGGUGAAAUGCAUUGAGAUCGGAAAGAACACCAACGGCGAAAGCACUCUGCUGGGCCGACACUGACACUGAGAGACGAAAUCUAGGGGAGCAAAUGGG